rnacentral:rRNA from 1 species
UACGUAGGUGGCAAGCGUUGUCCGGAUUUAUUGGGCGUAAAGAGCGUGUAGGCGGCCAGACAGGUCAGCUGUGAAAACUCGAGGCUCAACCUCGAGACGUCGGUUGAAACCGUCUGGCUAGAGUCCGGAAGAGGAGAGUGGAAUUCCCGGUGUAGCGGUGAAAUGCGCAGAUAUCGGGAAGAACACCCGUGGCUAAGGCGGCUCUCUAGUACGGUACUGACGCUGAGACGCGAAAGCGUGGGGAGCGAACAGG